GACGAACGCUGGCGGCGUGCUUAACACAUGCAAGUCGAACGAUGAAGCUAGAGCUUGCUCUGGUGGAUUAGUGGCGAACGGGUGAGUAACACGUGAGUAACCUGCCCCGAACUCUGGGAUAACUGCUGGAAACGGUAGCUAAUACCGGAUAUGACCAAUGACGGCAUCUUCUGUUGGUGGAAAGAAUUUCGGUUCGGGAUGGACUCGCGGCCUAUCAGCUUGUGGGUGAGGUAACGGCUCACCAAGGCGACGACGGGUAGCCGGCCUGCGAGGGAGAUCGGCCACACUGGGACUGAGACACGGCCCAGACUCCUACGGGAGGCAGCAGUGGGGAAUAUUGCACAAUGGGCGCAAGCCUGAUGCAGCAACGCCGCGUGAGGGACGACGGCCUUCGGGUUGUAAACCUCUUUUAGUAGGGAAGAAGCGAAAGUGACGGUACCUGCAGAAAAAGCACCGGCUAACUACGUGCCAGCAGCCGCCGUAA
rnacentral:rRNA from 1 species